rnacentral:rRNA from 1 species
UACGGGGGGGGUAAGCGUUGUUCGGAAUUACUGGGCGUAAAGGGCUCGUAGGCGGCCAACUAAGUCAGACGUGAAAUCCCCUCAGCUUAACUGGGGAACUGCGUCUGAUACUGGAUGGCUUGGAUUCGGGAGAGGAAUGCGGAAUUCCAGGUGUAGCGGUGAAAUGCGUAGAUAUCUGGAGGAACACCGGUGGCGAAGGCGGCAUUCUGGACCGACAUUGACGCUGAGGAGCGAAAGCCAGGGGAGCAAAGCGGG